UACGUAGGGAGCAAGCGUUGUCCGGAAUCAUUGGGCGUAAAGCGCGCGUAGGCGGCCCGGCGAGUCCGCUGUGAAAGUCAAAGGCUCAACCUUUGAAAGCCGAUGGAUACUGCAGGACUAGAGUCCGGAAGAGGCGAGUGGAAUUCCUGGUGUAGCGGUGGAAUGCGCAGAUAUCAGGAGGAACACCAAUAGCGAAGGCAGCUCGCUGGGACGGUACUGACGCUAAGGCGCGAAAGCGUGGGGAGCGAACAGG
rnacentral:rRNA from 1 species